AGUCAUGUGGCUCGUGGAUAUAAGCAGUGAUAAGGGUACAGCAGUUACUUACUAAAGCCACUAUAUACUAUUAAGUUAGUUACACUAAGCUUUAACUAGGUUUAACUUAGGUUUAACUUUAACUAAGGUGGUAGGGGUUCUUGAGAGCUUACAUGAGUAUGUGCCACUACCCUGCCUAUUUUUGCUGUAAAGCAGUUUUGGUUUGAGGGGUGGGGCAGCUAUUGUACUAUAAAAAUGAAGACUUAGAACGAUGGGCAGCGGUAUUAACAUGGUUGUGUCUAUGAGCUUUGGUGGUCACUUAACACCAAAGGGCGGUGAGCUCAUCCACCCUUCUCGGCAGUAAAAAACAUAAAGAAAUCGUCAGCUUGUUUUAUAGUUGAUUGAAGCUGAGAGUACAUAUAACCUGGUAAAAUGAUGACAUACUUUUGAAACAAACACACUAAAAUAACAAAAUUAUACAAAGUUUGGCAUUCAGCUAUGGAACUCUAAAAAUUUUGAAAUCCUCUGAAGUUUUAUGUAAUUCACAAAUAUUCACAAUAACCAAGCAUAUAUUAAACCAUCUUCUUCUCCAAAGUUUUAGAUAUUUUUGGUAAACUUACUUGAUUACUUAUAAAAAAUAACAUUACUCAAACAACCUACAUUUUUAUCUAUCAGACAUACCUAUGUGAUAAAAAUCUAAAUUUUCCUCUUAAAAAUAUUUCUGAAGAGUGGCUUAUCAUGA